rnacentral:rRNA from 1 species
UACAGAGGGUGCAAGCGUUGUUCGGAAUUACUGGGCGUAAAGCGCGUGUAGGCGGUUUGGUAAGUCUCGUGUGAAAGCCCUGGGCUCAACCCAGGAAGUGCGCGAGAUACUGCCUGAACUGGAGUAACGGAGAGGAUGGCGGAAUUCCCGGUGUAGAGGUGAAAUUCGUAGAUAUCGGGAGGAACACCUGUGGCGAAGGCGGCCAUCUGGACGUUCACUGACGCUGAGACGCGAAAGCAUGGGUAGCAAACAGG